AUUUCUCUUGGUGACAGUCAUAGCCAUUACUAAGAGCAUUGUGAUGGUGGCGGUAUUAACAGUUGUUACCCUUUGCGUUCUUCCAGAGCAUGUGAGCACUUCUGUUCCUCAGAGAUCUAGGAAGCAAAUACGCCAGUCUGAAGUUUUUGCUUAUUCCAUAUGUAAUGAGGGUUUAGUGACUGAAGUGUUAAACAUUUCAUAGUCUAAGCUGGGCUCCAGUGGCUUCCUUGUAACAAUCCUAGCCACUCAGGAGGCUAGGAUCUGCAAAUUGCCAUUCAAAGCCAGGAGAGUUGCUGAGACUUUCAUACCUUAUUUAAAAGUUACUAUCUUACUAUCUUUUAUUUAACAUCCCCCCUCCCCCCAAAAAAGCCAAGUUCUAAGUGAAGCUGUGGCUCAAGUGGUAGAGUGCUAUACUUG